CUCUGGUAUUGAUUGGUGCUUGCAUCAUGAUUUACAUUUGAGUGAGUGGCGAACUGGUGAGUAACACGUGGGAAACCUGCCCAGAAGCGGGGGAUAACACCUGGAAACAGAUGCUAAUACCGCAUAACAACUUGGACCGCAUGGUCCGAGUUUGAAAGAUGGCUUCGGCUAUCACUUUUGGAUGGUCCCGCGGCGUAUUAGCUAGAUGGUGGGGUAACGGCUCACCAUGGCAAUGAUACGUAGCCGACCUGAGAGGGUAAUCGGCCACAUUGGGACUGAGACACGGCCCAAACUCCUACGGGAGGCAGCAGUAGGGAAUCUUCCACAAUGGACGAAAGUCUGAUGGAGCAACGCCGCGUGAGUGAAGAAGGGUUUCGGCUCGUAAAACUCUGUUGUUAAAGAAGAACAUAUCUGAGAGUAACUGUUCAGGUAUUGACGGUAUUUAACCAGAAAGCCACGGCUAACUACGUGCCAGCAGCCGCGGUAAUACGUAGGUGGCAAGCGUUGUCCGGAUUUAUUGGGCGUAAAGCGAGCGCAGGCGGUUUUUUAAGUCUGAUGUGAAAGCCUUCGGCUCAACCGAAGAAGUGCAUCGGAAACUGGGAAACUUGAGUGCAGAAGAGGACAGUGGAACUCCAUGUGUAGCGGUGAAAUGCGUAGAUAUAUGGAAGAACACCAGUGGCGAAGGCGGCUGUCUGGUCUGUAACUGACGCUGAGGCUCGAAAGUAUGGGUAGCAAACAGGAUUAGAUACCCUGGUAGUCCAUACCGUAAACGAUGAAUGCUAAGUGUUGGAGGGUUUCCGCCCUUCAGUGCUGCAGCUAACGCAUUAAGCAUUCCGCCUGGGGAGUACGGCCGCAAGGCUGAAACUCAAAGGAAUUGACGGGGGCCCGCACAAGCGGUGGAGCAUGUGGUUUAAUUCGAAGCUACGCGAAGAACCUUACCAGGUCUUGACAUACUAUGCAAAUCUAAGAGAUUAGACGUUCCCUUCGGGGACAUGGAUACAGGUGGUGCAUGGUUGUCGUCAGCUCGUGUCGUGAGAUGUUGGGUUAAGUCCCGCAACGAGCGCAACCCUUAUUAUCAGUUGCCAGCAUUAAGUUGGGCACUCUGGUGAGACUGCCGGUGACAAACCGGAGGAAGGUGGGGAUGACGUCAAAUCAUCAUGCCCCUUAUGACCUGGGCUACACACGUGCUACAAUGGAUGGUACAACGAGUUGCGAACUCGCGAGAGUAAGCUAAUCUCUUAAAGCCAUUCUCAGUUCGGAUUGUAGGCUGCAACUCGCCUACAUGAAGUCGGAAUCGCUAGUAAUCGCGGAUCAGCAUGCCGCGGUGAAUACGUUCCCGGGCCUUGUACACACCGCCCGUCACACCAUGAGAG
rnacentral:rRNA from 2 species